GCCAGGCGUGGUGGCACGUGCCUGCAGUCCCAGCUACUCGGGAGGCUGAGGUGGGAGGAUUGCUUGAGCCUAGGAGUUCUGGGCUGUAGUGCGCUAUGCCAACCGGGUGUCUGCACUAAGUUCGGCAUCAAUAUGGUGACCUCCCAGGAGUGGGGGACCACCAGGUUGCCUAAGGAGGGGUGAACUGGCCCAGGUCAGAAACAGAGUAGGUCAAAACUCCCGUGCUGAUCAGUAGCAGGAUCGCACCUGUGAACAGCUAAGGCAUUCCAGCCUGGGUAACACAGCGAGACCCCGUCUCU
rnacentral:SRP_RNA from 1 species